AGAAGAUACUGCUUUGUAAAGAACAUGCAGUCUACACUAACUAUAGCUGAAUACAGAGGUUUUAAGGUUGUUUGCUAAUAUCCCUAAAUAUAGGCUGAUGAAAACCACCAGAGUAAAACUGGUAAAAAUAAUACUGACACAAACGGCAGCAGCAUGAUGUGAUCCUGGCAUGCAGUUCUCUGCUGAUCUGACUGACUAGGAUAUUUAUAGGAAUCACAAAUGCAGAUGACUACAGGGGCCAGGUGAGAAGAAACAUCAGAAGCACUUGAAGGACCAGAAGGCACCUUUUCUUUGGUGUUAAUGACAUCAUCUUCAUCGUCACUAUUAUUGUGAUCAUCUUGAUCCAGAACAAUUUCAGCUAUUUCACCAUUGGUCAAUGAAUGAACAACUGGAGGCUCAUUAUCAAUGUUAAAAGCUUCUUUGAUAUCUACUUCUUCCAGCUUACUGAUGCAUAUAUAUUAUUAUUUUGCAUAUAUAAGGUCAGACAUUCAUGUUUUCCUCACUUGACAUAUGAAAUCCUUCAAAGUCACUACUUAGUUCAUCAUCAUCAUCACUGCACAUAGUCACAGGUUAGAGGUUGCAGGCAUGCAAAACUGUAUCUUUAGUCAUUGUCUUCCAAGCAUUGGCAACAGCAUGUAUGGCAUCUUUCAUGCUAAACUCUUUUUGCAAACCUUCCACACCCACACCUCUUGUCAC
rnacentral:lncRNA from 10 species